GAUGAAGAACGUAGCGAAAUGCGAAAAGUAAUGUGAAUUGCAGAAUUCAGUGAACCAUCGAAUCUUUGAACGCACAUUGCGCCCGCUGGAACUCCGGCGGGCACGCCUGUCCGAGCGUCAUUUCAACCCUCAGGCCCCCCUUCGCGGGCGGGCCUGGUGUUGGGGCCCGGCCGCUACCCUGCGGCCGUCCCCUAAAUCCAGUGGCGGCCUCGCCGUGAUCCCUUGCGUAGUAAUGCACCUCGCACCGGAGAGCGCCGUGGCCACGCCGUAAAACCCCCAAUUUUCAAUGGUUGACCUCGGAUCAGGUGGGAAUACCCGCUGAACUUAAGCAUAUCAAUAAGCGGAGA
rnacentral:misc_RNA from 1 species